AUGUUCUCCACAUCUCUACUGCUGCCGCUGCUGCUGCUGGCUGCUGUGAGCUGUGUUCACAGUGUUGAGCUGACCCAGCCUGGAUCCAUGGUCAUUAAUCCUGGUCAGUCGAUGUCACUGACCUGUAAAGUUUCUGGAUAUUCUCUGACUGAUGACAGCUACUGUACAGACUGGAUACGUCACCCUGCAGGAAAAGCUCUGGAGUGGAUUGGAGCGAUAUGUGGUAGUGCUAGCACUGACUACAGUGAUAAACUGAAAAGCAGGUUUGAAGUUUCCAGAGACACGUCCAGCAGCACAGUGACCUUAAGAGGGCAUAAUCUGCAGACUGGAGACACAGCUGUGUAUUACUGCGCUCGUGAAGACCACAGUGAGACACAUCAACAGGAACCCUGUACAAAAACCUCUGCUUUGCACCUGCCUUUCGAGCUACACUGA